UCGUAAAAAUAAACAAAGUAAUUUGAGAGUUUUUUUGCUAACGUUCGGAAAAGUUUAUUCCUAAACGAAUGUCGGUUUCAGCCCAUUUGGUGGGAAAUCGCUGCAUGUUUUUGCAGCUCCGCUGGUGGUUCCUACGGGGCAGAUGGAGUCGUCCAGUGUGGUGGCACCGACGGGGAACGAGUUGCUACAAUCCGGGAGGAGCUUGCAGGCUACGUACGACACGGACGGGAAGAUUGUGUUUGUCUCUUCGAAAGCCGAUCGGAUGGAAGAUGAAAGAAAAAAAAAAAUGUGGAAGAACGACAAGCCAGAAGACGCCGUGGACAAAUACGAGGAUGAGGAACCUGUGUCGAGGCCGAACGGAACCGAGCGGGCUGAGGUCGAAAAGAUAAUGGUCAAGAAGCCCCAGCGAGGAGAAGUACGUGCUGCACAUCAAGACAUCCGGUAGUUCCCCAAAUCGGACCAUCGGAAGUUUACAACAAGCGGACUUGCUUGUGAACCUACUCGGGCCACCGGCAGGCCGUGCGGAACGUGAGUUUUAACAAGUGCGGCGAUAAGCUCGUGUCGGCCGGGUACGAUUGCUGCCUCAAGCUGUUGGACACCGAAACGGACGACGUCGUGUCACGCUUUAGUUCGUGAAAGAUUUCCCCCUGUGUGCGGUGGAAGCGUUGGACUAAACCAUUUGGUUGGACCCAACCUUACCCGCAGAAUCUGCAUCGUCCAGGAGUACGACCGUCGUCCGGGCGCGGUCAACAAGACAACCUUCGUCGGCGAAAACCGGAGCAUCGUGAUGCUCCGGCUAUUUUCUGGCUUGCACGUCUGGGAGUGGGACAUUUCGGUAGACAUAAAGUACAUCGCCGAUCCAACGAUGCUCACGAUACCCGUAGUUACACCUCCCCAAACGGCAAGUGGUUUGUCUACAAAAGCUACAUGUUCUCCGGUUAUGCCUGUUCCCCCGACAUGAGCAACCUCGUGUCCAGCGAUGGCGACGGCAAAGUCUACAUCUGUUUAACUGCUUCUGCGAGCAGCUGACACUGGCAGCAUACGUCGUACGCAGAUUCUCGAGUUCCUACUCCAGCUGGCAGAGGCAGGCAACUUUCACAGCUAUCUGACGCUGGACGUGGUGUACAAGAUCGAGUUGGAGGUGCACAAGAAACCCAUCGCCUCGUCGGUGUUCCGGUCAACCUGGCUUAGGGGGCUCAGGGAGCUGAGAUACCGGUUCUGGGUUUCGGUUGACAGCGUUUGAAGAGCUGAACGACGACAGUUUCACGCUGGAGGAACAUCUUUAGACAAGGGGAGCAACAAAUAUUACCUGCAGAUAUUACGAAGGAUUAGUUGACGGCGAAGCAGUUCUGUGAAAGCCGUCGAGUAGCGGAACGACAACGGGUUGCUGCAACGGCAUAGCUGGAGGUGAAAACACACACAAUGUGUUGACAUCUGAUUGGCACUUAAUUCAGGACGUUAAUAAGUGCAUCGACAAAGAGAUUCGGGUGUUUUAUUAAAAAAUAUUUAUUUAGCUUGCUUUUUGUUUUAUUUAUUUUUAAAUUUAAUCGUUACUCGCAUUCCGGAAUUGAACGGAAAAUUGAUGUAGUAGUUGAAAGAUUUAUAAAUAGCAGUUUUUUUACCCACCGCUACACUUAAGUUCGUUCGCAACUUCCGGCAAAACGCGUUCCUCGUUGUUUUGCUUCUUCGUAAGUUCCGGUAGU